CUCAUUCACUGGUUCAUUCAGCAUAUGUUGAUAGCACUCUUGUGUUGCAGGCAAUGGUGCUAGGCACAGGGGUGCUGUGGAUACAUCAGUGAAUGAGAUCGACUGGCUUUCUGCCCACAUGGGGCUUAAAUUCUAAUGAAGAGAGAGGCAAGAAAGAUCAUGAGUGAGCAAACGCAUAGGAUCACUGUGACUGCUGGGUGAAGGCUUGACUACAGAAGGGCAAGCGUGGCAGCUGGGAGCCUAAUUAGGAGGCUCCUGCAGACCCCCAAGUGGGAGGUGAUGAUAGCCAAAGUGGUGGCAGUCAUCUGAUUCCAGAAUUUGACCAAUCACUAGGGCAGGGGAGCCUAGCAUGGUGUCUCAUGAAGGAACUCUCCCCUGCCUGCGUCCUCAGCCCUCACCUUGGUACUGGAAGAUGUCGUGCGUAUUCAAAGGCACCCCGGGGAACAUCUGGUCCACCAACGUGACGCUCCUGCUAUCCACCGUCUGCGUCUUUACGUCGAACCUGCAGGCAGGAGGCGAGGAGACAGGUGCUGAGCCUGCGGGCGGGUGGAUGGCGCCCGGGCUCCCCCUGCCGGCAGCCGCGGUGGCUCUCACCUCCAGAAGUGCUGCCCGCUGAACAGUAGCACCUUACCCCCGCCGCGCGGGAGGGCCCCCGUGACGUGGGUCACCUGCGAGCCCAGGCCCAGCUUGUCCAGACGCCUCGGGCCCAGCACCGACGCGCCUGUGUACACCCACACUUGGCGCCCUGUGCAGGGGAGAAGGGCCACGUCGGUCUGGGGGAGCGGAGGUGGCACACAUUCUCCUUGAAUGUGAGGAGGAAGAUCCCAGCAAGGCCCUUCCUGGACCAGCGUGCCGCAGUCUCUGUGCCCAAGGGGCAGAGCCGCUGGGGAUGGUUACGCAAGGGCAUGGCGAGGAGGGGAACUGGAAUUCGGCCCCCAAUAAAUGUGCGAAAUUGCCUCCGCCACGGAGCGCCUUUUCCUAAUACGCACACGAUGGUU